rnacentral:rRNA from 1 species
GGAACGCGAAGAACCUUACCAAGUCUUGACAUCCUGCGACGCACAUAGAAAUAUGUGUUUCCUUCGGGACGCAGAGACAGGUGGUGCAUGUUUCGUCAGCUCGUGUCGUGAGAUGUUGGGUUAAGUCCCGCAACGAGCGCAACCCUUAUGGUCAGUUACUACGCAAGAGGACUCUGGCCAGACUGCCGUUGACAAAACGGAGGAAGGUGGGGAUGACGUCAAAUCAUCAUGACCUUUAUGACUUGGGCUACACACGUACUACAAUGGCGUUAAACAAAGAGAAGCAAGACCGCGAGGUGGAGCAAAACUCAGAAACAACGUCCCAGUUCGGACUGCAGGCUGCAACUCGCCUGCACGAAGUCGGAAUUGCUAGUAAUCGCAGAUCAGCAUGCUGCGGUGAAUACGUUCCCGGGCCUUGUACACAC